AAGCCCUCCUAUUACUCCACCCCAAUUUGGCCCAACAAGAUCCCAUAUAAAAGUGGUCCCAGGUGUUCUUUCAGUUUAUUUGAUUCAUUUGUGGUUUGGGGGUUAUUUGCUCUCUUAGGUUUAAGAAGGCUCUCUAGAGGGGAAGAAAUGUUCUAUACUUCUUUUCUCUUCAGAAGUCUUUAUUCACUAUUCUAUAUUGGAGCUAUUUAAAAUAACAAAGUAAUUCUUCUACAGAAUAACUCAUAUACUUAAAUUGUUGAUUCACAUACCUGUACUGUUAACUUCAACCUAACUCUUUCUGUGUGGAAAUAAUUAUUACAUAGCUAUUAGAACAUACAACUAUAUAGCAUAGGGUUUGAAGUUUUUUUUAAAACCUAGUUUUUCCCAUUUAGAAAAUGAGGCAGAAGACUAAAGUUUGGAGUAAUAUUCACUAUCAAUUGUUUUUAUUUACAUUUAAUUGUGGACAAAGCCUGACUAUUAAAGACUUGUGAUAAGUUGGUAUCCAAAUAUGACAGAAUCAGAUUACAAAUACAACUGAAGGAGAUUUUCUGUCUUCUUCCAAAGGCAUUUUAUUUCCUUGCAGCAAGAAAGCAGGAACCUAAUUUUAUCACCAGCUGAUGCAACCACUUUCCCAGUAACUUUGUACUCUGCAGGAUUGAAUCUUUCCUACUCCCUUCACCUGGGCAACAAUUUCAUCCUAUAUAUCUGGGGGCUCUGGAACUCAAAUCUUUUUCUAAAUCUGUCUUUCAGUUGACAUCACAAAAGGGAGAUUUAGAUGGGGAACUGAGACAUCGAUUAAAUGAUUUUCUAAAUGCUGUACAGGAAUUUUGUGCCUGACCUGGAAAUUGAACCCAUAUCUCAGACCAGAGUUUUAACUGCAAGACCAUCUUCUCUAACAGCUCUCUAGUACUGAGGUAUUUCAUACACCACUGGAUGAUAACCACUGACAAAUGUUCAUUUUUUAAAAUCUGGAACUCCUUUUGACACAUUCUAUGCCGUGCAACAGAUCCAGCAUUUGCAUGUCGGGAACAAUAGAGGACAUUAUGGUGUAAAAUAUUGAGAAGUUUAGCUCUGAGUCUCCUAGCCCCUUGAUAAUGGAAUCUCUACUGUGUGAGAGAACACUUGGCUGUAUCUGGAGGGAACUUUUUGGAGUAUUAGUCAGAUACCACCAAUAAAACACUUCUGAAAUAGAUCUACUGCAUGUUUAGAAAGCUGGAUCAAGAUUCAUAUAACUUCUGUGCUCUAGACCUGCAACAUACAUAGCACUAAGUCUUAUCGGGUGAGUCCUUUACUUCAGUGCAAUAUGGAAAAGUCAAUAUGUAUCUCAGACAUGCAAUGAUACUCUAUGUACUUCUAAGAAGACAUAAGAGACUGAAUGAAUAUCUGAUUUCUAAUUUGUGAAAUAAUAAAAAUAGAGAGCAUCUAUGUAAUGCUUCCCAUCCAGUGAUCUCAAAGUGCUUCAGAGAUUUUAUACAGCUAGAAUAGGCUGGCUAUAAAGACAAAACUCACAUUUGUAAACGAGGUUGUACUUCCAAAUGAAUAGAGAAAUUCACACAAAAAUGGACUGAAUGUAAUGGUUGUAGGAGCAAGCCAGAUGGUUUUGUAGAUUAAAUAAACCUGCAUAUGGUUAUGGAAGUUAAACUAUGAAUUAGUCAACAUGUAUAGUUUGGAGGAAAAUGUCAUAGUCCUUGUUUGUGAACUGCAUAAUUGUGGCCCAGAUUCACAAACCAGCAAUCCCUCUCCCUCAUAUAUCCACAAGAAACUGCAGUGCCGUUCAUAGUUAGACAUAAGCAUGUUCAGGAAGAGAACCUCUUGUAUCUCUUAUAAUUGAAGAUCAGGCUAAAUAAAAAGAGGCAGAACAAUAGCUCUGGCAGCGAAUCUUAUCUGCGGGCAUAAGAGCUCUGUGACAAUCACUGAAAAUAAAACAGAAGGGCCCACCACAAUGAAUGGAAUGUAACCCCAGCACCUUUCUCUACCAUCAGCAUCAUGGCACUUGCUAGCCCUCCUUAUAGUUGAAGAGGUGGCUCCAUUAUAAAUAAAUAACAAGUCAUUCUGUCAAACACAUUGGCUAAUUAAGAUAAAAGUGAUG